UGAUUUGGAUUCAAAACGUUUCCGGUUCUGAUGACAGAUGGGAGAUGACGGACAUUUGGCAUCAAACUGUCGUCUGAAUAAGAUCAAAUGAACUUCUCUGCCUAGUAACGCUGUAAAUUCUUUGAACCGUACGUAAUAAAGUAAUGCGCGUCUCAAAAUAUCAGAAACUUGGCAGAGAAUGGUUGAGCCUGAAAAGCGUAAUGAGUAAUGAACAAACAAAGCAAACCACCCCAGCUCUCACCAGGGAAGAAAAACCUUCAACUCUCGAAACAUCUGAACAACU